rnacentral:rRNA from 1 species
CCUGGCUCAGGACGAACGCUGGCGGCGUGCUUAACACAUGCAAGUCGAACGAUGAACCACUUCGGUGGGGAUUAGUGGCGAACGGGUGAGUAACACGUGGGCAAUCUGCCCUUCACUCUGGGACAAGCCCUGGAAACGGGGUCUAAUACCGGAUGAUACUUCUGCUCGCAUGGGUGGGGGUUGAAAGCUCCGGCGGUGAAGGAUGAGCCCGCGGCCUAUCAGCUUGUUGGUGAGGUAGUGGCUCACCAAGGCGACGACGGGUAGCCGGCCUGAGAGGGCGACCGGCCACACUGGGACUGAGACACGGCCCAGACUCCUACGGGAGGCAGCAGUGGGGAAUAUUGCACAAUGGGCGAAAGCCUGAUGCAGCGACGCCGCGUGAGGGAUGACGGCCUUCGGGUUGUAAACCUCUUUCAGCAGGGAAGAAGCGAAAGUGACGGUACCUGCAGAAGAAGCGCCGGCUAACUACGUGCCAGCAGCCGCGGUAAUACGUAGGGCGCAAGCGUUGUCCGGAAUUAUUGGGCGUAAAGAGCUCGUAGGCGGUCUGUCGCGUCGGAUGUGAAAGCCCGGGGCUUAACCCCGGGUCUGCAUUCGAUACGGGCAGAC